rnacentral:rRNA from 1 species
CCGGCGACCGGCGCACGGGUGAGUAACACGUAUGCAACCUGGCCGUGACAGAUGGAUAACCGGGAGAAAUCCCGCCUAAUACAACAUAAUGCCGGGAGGGGACAUCCCCUGCCGGCCAAAGGGGGCGACCCCGGUCACGGAUGGGCAUGCGGCGCAUUAGGUAGUUGGUGAGGCAACGGCCCACCAAGCCGACGAUGCGUAGGGGUUCUGAGAGGAAGGUCCCCCACAUUGGAACUGAGACACGGUCCAAACUCCUACGGAAGGCAGCAG